UACGUAGGGGGCAAGCGUUGUCCGGAAUUAUUGGGCGUAAAGAGCGCGUAGGCGGUCCGGUAAGUCGGCUGUGAAAGUCAAGGGCUCAACCCUUGAAAGCCGGCCGAUACUGUCGGACUAGAGUCCGGAAGAGGCGAGUGGAAUUCCGAGUGUAGAGGUGAAAUUCGUAGAUAUUCGCAAGAACACCAGUGGCGAAGGCGGCUCACUGGCCCGAUACUGACGCUGAGGCACGAAAGCGUGGGGAGCAAACAGG
rnacentral:rRNA from 1 species